rnacentral:rRNA from 1 species
AGCGAACGCUGGCGGCAUGCCUAACACAUGCAAGUCGCACGGGGGGGCUUCGGCCUCCCAGUGGCGGACGGGUGAGGAACGCGUAGGGACCUGUCGAGGGGUGGGGGAUAACCGCGGGAAACUGCGGCUAAUACCGCAUGACGCCGCGGCGUGACAGCCGGGGCCACAGGCGGAAGCCGCCCGCCGAGGGGCCUGCGUCCGAUUAGCUGGUUGGCGGGGUAGCGGCCCACCAAGGCGUCGAUCGGUAGCUGGUCUGAGAGGGUGAUCAGCCACACCGGGACUGAGACACGGCCCGGACUCCUACGGGAGGCAGCAGUGGGGAAUAUUGGACAAUGGGCGCAAGCCUGAUCCAGCAAUGCCGCGUGGGUGAAGAAGGUCUUCGGAUUGUAAAGCCCUUUCGGCGGGGACGAUGGUGACGGUACCCGCAGAAGAAGCCCCGGCUAACUUCGUG